AAAAUAUCGUUGCAUAGAAUAUUUGAUUCCUAACAAGUGUUUUAGAAUGAGUUAUUGGGUAAUACCAAAAGGAAACAAAGUAUUAAUAGAAAUCAAGUGCAGAAUGCUGCUCUGAAAAUCCUUUGCAAAAAUAUAGUCUUUUGCUGAGUUUUCAGGAGUAUUUUGCUGCAUCUGUGAUUUGUAAAAUUCUGUAAAUGUAUUGUCUAUACAUAUAUUUAUUUGUAUAUGAAAUCUCCAUAAAUCGGCCAAGUAUAUUUUAAUAAACAACAUGUUGAGAUAUACUAAUGGAGAUACAUCUUGAAGUGCUGUUUUACCUUAGGACAUUUCAAAACUGACGUUUUGUAUUCAGAAUGUUCGACAUUCCAAUGUGUUAUGUGGGGAGUG
rnacentral:lncRNA from 1 species